rnacentral:rRNA from 1 species
UGCAAGUCGAACGAUGAAGCCCAGCUUGCUGGGUGGAUUAGUGGCGAACGGGUGAGUAACACGUGAGUAACCUGCCCUUAACUCUGGGAUAAGCCUGGGAAACUGGGUCUAAUACCGGAUAGGAGCGCCUACCGCAUGGUGGGUGUUGGAAAGAUUUAUCGGUUUUGGAUGGACUCGCGGCCUAUCAGCUUGUUGGUGAGGUAAUGGCUCACCAAGGCGACGACGGGUAGCCGGCCUGAGAGGGUGACCGGCCACACUGGGACUGAGACACGGCCCAGACUCCUACGGGAGGCAGCAGUGGGGAAUAUUGCACAAUGGGCGAAAGCCUGAUGCAGCGACGCCGCGUGAGGGAUGACGGCCUUCGGGUUGUAAACCUCUUUCAGUAGGGAAGAAGCGAAAGUGACGGUACCUGCAGAAGAAGCACCGGCUAACUACGUGCCAGCAGCCGCGGUAAUACGUAGGGUGCGAGCGUUAUCCGGAAUUAUUGGGCGUAAAGAGCUCGUAGGCGGUUUGUCGCGUCUGUCGUGAAAGUCCGGGGCUUAACCCCGGAUCUGCGGUGGGUACGGGCAGACUAGAGUGCAGUAGGGGAGACUGGAAUUCCUGGUGUAGCGGUGGAAUGCGCAGAUAUCAGGAGGAACACCGAUGGCGAAGGCAGGUCUCUGGGCUGUAACUGACGCUGAGGAGCGAAAGCAUGGGGAGCGAACAGGAUUAGAUACCCUGGUAGUCCAUGCCGUAAACGUUGGGCACUAGGUGUGGGGACCAUUCCACGGUUUCCGCGCCGCAGCUAACGCAUUAAGUGCCCCGCCUGGGGAGUACGGCCGCAAGGCUAAAACUCAAAGGAAUUGACGGGGGCCCGCACAAGCGGCGGAGCAUGCGGAUUAAUUCGAUGCAACGCGAAGAACCUUACCAAGGCUUGACAUGUUCCCGAUCGCCGUAGAGAUACGGUUUCCCCUUUGGGGCGGGUUCACAGGUGGUGCAUGGUUGUCGUCAGCUCGUGUCGUGAGAUGUUGGGUUAAGUCCCGCAACGAGCGCAACCCUCGUUCCAUGUUGCCAGCACGUAAUGGUGGGGACUCAUGGGAGACUGCCGGGGUCAACUCGGAGGAAGGUGAGGACGACGUCAAAUCAUCAUGCCCCUUAUGUCUUGGGCUUCACGCAUGCUACAAUGGCCGGUACAAUGGGUUGCGAUACUGUGAGGUGGAGCUAAUCCCAAAAAGCCGGUCUCAGUUCGGAUUGGGGUCUGCAACUCGACCCCAUGAAGUCGGAGUCGCUAGUAAUCGCAGAUCAGCAACGCUGCGGUGAAUACGUUCCCGGGCCUUGUACACACCGCCCGUCAAGUCACGAAAGUUGGUAACACCCGAAGCCGGUGGCCUAACCCUUAUGGGGGGAGCCGUCGA